AAAAAUUAUAUAAAAAUAUAAAUCACAUAUAAACUCACAGGGAUUUGGUUUUGUAACAUUCGCUAACAGCAAUGAUGCGGAACGAGCACGUGAACGUCUACAUGGUACCGUGGUUGAGGGACGUAAAAUAGAGGUUAAUAAUGCAACGGCACGUGUACAAACCAAAAAAGUGACCACCGUUCCAAAUGUUUGUGUACAAUGGCCUGAAGGUAAGUGUUGUUUGCAUAUUUUUCUCUGUGCUAAAUUGUUUUAAUUAUUUUAUGCUAUUUGUUAUAAAAGUAUGUUUUUAAAAACCAUACAUUUAAAAGCUUUU